GCGAUCGAAGCCCAUCUGGCCGGGCACCUGCCUUCCAAGCAGGAGGUAGCGGGUUCGAGCCCCGUCGAUCGCU
rnacentral:tRNA from 1 species